rnacentral:rRNA from 1 species
GUGGGGAAUUUUGCGCAAUGGGCGAAAGCCUGACGCAGCAACGCCGCGUGGGUGAAGAAGGCUCUUGGGUCGUAAAGCCCUUUUCCGGGGGAAGAGAACAGACGGUACCCCGGGAAUCAGCACCGGCUAACUCCGUGCCAGCAGCCGCGGUAAUACGGAGGGUGCAAGCGUUGUUCGGAUUUACUGGGCGUAAAGGGCGUGUAGGCGGAUGCGCAAGCUGGGAGUGAAAGACCAGGGCUCAACCCGGGAGCAUCUCCCAGAACUGCGCGUCUAGAGAGAGUCAGAGGCAGGUGGAAUUCCUGGUGUAGAGGUGAAAUUCGUAGAGAUCAGGAGGAACAUCGGCGGCGAAGGCGGCCUGCUGGGGCUACUCUGACGCUGAGGCGCGAAAGCGUGGGGAGCAAACAGG